UAAAAAUUAAAAGUCACUUUUGUAGCACAUUAACGAUCCUAGUCCUAAAACAAACAGAAGGUGUCGAAAACACCAUAGUUAAUACAUAAUACUACUAUGUCUGAGUUAAUCAGUUUCAUCUUUGCUAGCCAAAGUCAAUGCCCGAACCUUUAAUCCUUGCAUGGUGGUGUUACAGUGCCUAGCUUUCACUUCUCUGCCUUAACAUAUUAACACCACGAGGCAAGGAUCAUGUAAGGUGCGUUCUUGACUUCUAUAUAAGUAUGUCUUGAAGCAGACAUCAUCGUAAUUCCUUGAAUUAU
rnacentral:lncRNA from 1 species